rnacentral:tRNA from 1 species
GUUGUGGCUCAGUGGUGGAGCGCUUGCCUAACAUGCGUGAGGCACUGGGUUCGAUCCCCGUACCACA